UACAGAGACUGCAAGCGUUAUUCGGAUUCACUGGGCGUAAAGGGUGCGCAGGCGGCCAAGUGUGUCAGGUGUGAAAUCCCGAGGCUUAACCUCGGAACUGCGCCUGAAACUACUUGGCUAGAGUACUGGAGAGGGUAACGGAAUUCACGGUGUAGCAGUGAAAUGCGUAGAUAUCAGGAGGAACACCUGUGGUGUAGACGGCUUUCUGGACCAUAGCUGACGCUGAGACACGAAAGCGUGGGUAGCAAACAGG
rnacentral:rRNA from 1 species